rnacentral:lncRNA from 1 species
AGGCUGACUUUCUUUUUAACCCUUACCUUCUGUCCUAGUUUCAAUUCCAAGACAGAAAACGAGUGGCAAGGGCUAGGCAAUUGGAAUUAUGUGACUUGGCUAGGAUCACACGGCUAGGAUGUAUUCUGGCAAUAGAUUUGAAUGCAGGUCUUCUAGACUCCAACCUGGGGCUCCAUCCAUUGUGCCACUUAGCUGCCCCUGAAGUUAACUUGUUAAAGGUGCCAUUGGUCAGGCAAAAAGGACUUCUCCUAACCAUGUACUUAGCAGGUCAGAAUCAGUUGUCGUAUGUCUAUCUAUACACGUGCCAGUUUCUCCAGGAGACUCCCAUCACAUGCCAUUACUAUUCUCCCAGAUGCAGAUUCCCUGGACCAUAACCUUGCAGGGAUAUCAUUAGAGAUGCUGUGUACAAGUCAGUUUUCAUUACAUUUAUAUCUACAUCUCUUCUUCCCAACUGUAGAACAGAAUCUCUGCAUCUCCAAAUCAUCUAGAGCAUUUCAACUCGCAGAAAUUGGAGGGAAGGGCAUCCUGGGCAUUGGAAAUGAUACGGGCAAAGACACAGAUCAGAGAAAUCAAGGGAUAUGUUCAGAGAAUGAAUGGGCUCCGAGAAGCUCCACCUGA